rnacentral:rRNA from 1 species
AGUGAGCGCUGGCGGUAGGCCUAACACAUGCAAGUCGAACGGCAGCACAGUAAGAGCUUGCUCUUACGGGUGGCGAGUGGCGGACGGGUGAGGAAUACAUCGGAAUCUACUUUUUCGUGGGGGAUAACGUAGGGAAACUUACGCUAAUACCGCAUACUACCUACGGGUGAAAGCAGGGGAUCUUCGGACCUUGCGCGAUUGAAUGAGCCGAUGUCGGAUUAGCUAGUUGGCGGGGUAAAGGCCCACCAAGGCGACGAUCCGUAGCUGGUCUGAGAGGAUGAUCAGCCACACUGGAACUGAGACACGGUCCAGACUCCUACGGGAGGCAGCAGUGGGGAAUAUUGGACAAUGGGCGCAAGCCUGAUCCAGCCAUACCGCGUGGGUGAAGAAGGCCUUCGGGUUGUAAAGCCCUUUUGUUGGGAAAGAAAAGCAGCAGGUUAAUACCCCGCUGUUCUGACGGUACCCAAAGAAUAAGCACCGGCUAACUUCGUG